UAAGCACCUCGUUAGGUGAGGCGUCUACACGAAUACAGGCCACUGACCCCGAACGUCGAAAGACGCCCCGGGUCAGGACAGCUCCUCCCGGCUUAAGGGUUGAGCCCAGGUGGCUUCCGGCUCGGAUUGUCGUUCGGGCCAGGACACGUCGUGUGGUGUCAAAGCUCUGACGAGAGGGGUGCGGA
rnacentral:sRNA from 17 species